rnacentral:rRNA from 1 species
GCAACCUGCCCAUAUCAGGGGGAUAGCCCGAAGAAAUUCGGAUUAACACCGCAUGAGAUUAUAAGAUGGCAUCAUCAGUAAUUAAAUAUUUAUAGGAUAUGGAUGGGCUCGCGUGGCAUUAGCUAGUUGGUUGGGUAACGGCCGACCAAGGCGACGAUGCCUAGGGGCUCUGAGAGGAGAAACCCCCACACUGGUACUGAGACACGGACCAGACUCCUACGGGAGGCAGCAGUAAGGAAUAUUGGUCAAUGGGCGGGAGCCUGAACCAGCCAUGCCGCGUGCAGGAGGACGGCCCUACGGGUUGUAAACUGCUUUUGCCAGGGGACAAACCCCCGCUCGCGAGCGGGGCUGAGGGUACCUGGAGAAUAAGGAUCGGCUAACUCCGUGCCAGCAGCCGCGGUAAUUC